rnacentral:rRNA from 1 species
AGCCCUAGCACAGGUGCUGCAUGGCCGUCGUCAGCUCGUGCCGUGAGGUGUUGGGUUAAGUCCCGCAACGAGCGCAACCCCGCCGUUAGUUGCCAGCGGUUCGGCCGGGCACUCUAACGGGACUGCCCGCGAAAGCGGGAGGAAGAGGGGACGACGUCUGGUCAGCAUGGCCCUUACGGCCUGGGCGACACACGUGCUACAAUGCCCACUACAAAGCGAUGCCACCCGGCAACGGGGAGCUAAUCGCAAAAAGGUGGGCCCAGUUCGGAUUGGGGUCUGCAACCCGACCCCAUGAAGCCGGAAUCGCUAGUAAUCGCGGAUCAGCCAUGCCGCGGUGAAUACGUUCCCGGGCCCGUU